GACAGAGGGUGCAAACGUUGCUCGGAAUUACUGGGCGUAAAGGGCGUGUAGGCGGGCAGGUAAGUCGGGCGUGAAAUCCCCAAGCUCAACUUGGGAACUGCACUCGAAACUACCUUUCUUGAGUGUCGGAGAGGAAAGCGGAAUUCCUGGUGUAGAGGUGAAAUUCGUAGAUAUCAGGAGGAACACCAGUGGCGAAGGCGGCUUUCUGGACGAUGACUGACGCUGAGACGCGAAAGCGUGGGGAGCAAACAGG
rnacentral:rRNA from 1 species